UCAUCAGUCAAGACUUUCUUUUAGCACUUUGAACAACUCCAGGAUUCUUUCUUUGCCUGAGACAGCAACCUUAUCUCCUCAAAUCAUCUUUUGUUAAUACAACAUCAAUGCUAAAACUUCAAUCUCAUUAGCUUUUUUUCUGGACACACCUAAGAUUUUAUAGUGUUAAUGCAACAGAUAUCUUUGCAUUAAAUAUUUCACCAUAACUCCGAUUUUAGCAAAUCAUCAAUUGUAGACACAUCCUUUUCAAUUCUGAACAAUUUAAAAGAGCUUAAUCUCUUCUACAACCAGACAAAUUGGCAAAAGAUUAGAAGCAGACUUAGGAAGAGCAACCACGUUUUGAACCAGCAAACUUUUGAUCCCACUCUAUUCAGACUAAAAAAUUGUCCAAUUCUGUAAACAUAGCGCUCUUCCUCAUAUCAUAUGAAGCAGGUCCCACUCCUUGAUGAAGUCAUUGAAAAUGCAAUAUAUCCCAUUAUAUGCCCUAUCUUGCCCCUCUUUUCACCGUAAAAUCUAAUAUGAUUGAAGUCACUAUAGAGUACCAACAGGCCAUCAGAAAGAUCCCUACUAACCUUGAUUUCAUUAGACAUAUAUAGUCUAUCUAAUAAUUCAAAAAGUCCACAGACAUGAUCCAAUCAAAUUUGCUGCCCCUCACAUGAAGGAGUGCUGUAAUAGAUUGCAACAUUUCCAUGACAGAGCAUUUUUCCAACAGUUCUGACUUUCAGCCAACAAGAAGACCAUUAGAAGCACCAUACGAAUCUAACCAUGCCCAAGGAUCCACUAUCUUCCCUCUGGCAGACUUCAAGAAUUCAUAAUUCAGAUUGGAAAUCUUUCUCCUAUAAAUAAAAAGAAAAAAGGUCACCCAGCUGUACCCAAGGAGUUUUGAUCAAUCUCCUUUUAGCUGGCCUCGUAUUUAUUAUGUCGUUAAUAUGUGAUUCUUGCAACAAAUCUCCAGUCAACUGGUUUUGACUAUUCUCUCAUUUCUCCCCUUUUUUUCAUUAAUCCAAUCUAGAUUAUUUAAAGUGGAGGUUACCAGACAUGGAGAAUUGUAGGAUGCAUGCCAAACAAUUCCAGUAUAUGUGGUUUAAUUUGAGACUAUCAAGGAAGGCCAUUGAUGUUUAUUUGUUAGGCAAUUGCUGGUAGUAGAAGCUUGAGCAAACCAAGUGACUAGUUGGUUUUAGAUAUGCAAACCAAGUGACUAGUUGGCUGGCAGAUCAAGGUAGAAUUGAAAAAGAUAUGCAUGUUUGUCUUUCACAUGGCAUAGACAAUCUACCACUCGAAUUCAGUGGUUCAUGAAUAUAGUACAAAUGCAAUUUUCGAAAGAGCUUUGAGAAAUCCUUUACAAAAAAUAAAGGAGAAAAAUGCUAGUUAAAAAAUGACUCAAAAAGGAGAAGGGAAACUCUUCUCAUUGUGGAAUCAACUUCCAGUUGGCUGGUCAACCCCUCAGCUAUCUAGUUGGCUGGAUUGACAUCUGAUUUAACUACAAUAAUUGUUUGAUAACAUGACUCUAAUUUUAGAUGAAAGAUCGAAUCAGAUCCACUGAUAUAUCUUGUGGAUCCAAAUUGACCAGUUCGAUGUAAAGUUACAAGGCCAUGAGGUUUCAGUAGAAUGAGUUAAGCAGCAGCAUAAGAAGAGACAGAUUAGGAUACAUAUUAGAAAAUCAAUGGAUGAUGGAGAAAUACAUUUGCUGCAAUUAGCGAAAAACAACUUACUUUUUUAGCAAAAUUCCCUAUAUAUUUCUUAAGUUUCCAAUCCACCAGUAAGAGUAAUGGAAGCC
rnacentral:lncRNA from 1 species